AUUCAAAUAGUUUAUUAAAAAUAUUGGUUUGUGGGACCAGAGAGGUAAAAUUUUACUUUGGAUA
rnacentral:tRNA from 1 species